AAAUAAUUUCUUCUUCUUCUUCUUCUUCUUCUUGUUCUUCAUUCUUUGUGAUCGAACGGCACACCCCCCUUUUCGAAAUCUCUUCCGCCGCCUCAUCGUUCAUUUGCUUCUCCAUGCCGACACGAUGCCCAUCUAUCGUUGCACCGCUCUAAUCACCGAAAGACAACCACCCACGCUGCGCGCCUUGAACCACGACGUUUUGAAGCGAUUAGUUCGAAUCGGCACAAUCUAUUCGAGUUUCCUCAUUGUGUUUCGUUGUUAAUUGAGCUGUGCAUUACCUAACAAUCGUUCGUCGUCAUUCGACAAGUCGAAUCAUUGCUAAUUUCGUUAUUUUCAACCCUGUAUCCUUGGAUCUAAGUUUUUAGGCCAAAUUGAAGUGGGGAAAGCAUAUAAUCCUGGGGGAUCGAGUCAUUGAUUCGCUACUUAUGGUUGUCAGGGGGUUCCGGGGCUGAAAGAGGCUGUGACCGAAGAUCCGAGAACCUGAGCCUAAGUGAGGACAUGGAUGGAAGAUUAUGAUAUGGCUUCGGACCUAGCUUAACCUAUGGUUGGGUGGCACUAUGUGCACAUAGGAGCGGUAUAUAGUUACUAUGGUAGGUGCUAAGUGUGCAUGAGCUCCGUUUGGCCGUGUGUUUCCUUGUGGAUAUGGAGCAUGUGUGAGCUAUUGUCGGGCCAUAUGCUUAGUAUGCUAUCAUGGUUGGUUUGGAUUGGUUGACGGUUUCUAUCAUGGUGGGUACUAAGGAUGUGUGAGCUAGUUUUGGCCGCAUGAUUCUUUAUCAUGUACAAGCUAUCUUUUGUCGUAUCCUUAGAUGCCUUGCCAUGGUUGUAUGGAUUACAGAUUUG